UAUUUCCGAUCAAAAUGUUGUUACUCCCGAUUCGACGAGAAGGGGACAUCGUCCAGAGAGCAAAGUCGAACAACAAUGAAAGUCUGGAGAAGCGCUCGAGAGGGAGAAGAUUACCUUCACAGCGGCGAACUCCCGUCACUUCUUCCACUCAAAAUGUCGCAACCUCCGAUUCAAUAGAAAGGGACGGAGUCGGAUAGCAAUGAAGAAGGUGAAGGAGCUUCGACUGCGAGCGAGGGAAUGGAAGGAGAUGUCAGUAGGGUCUUCUUCGCAAUCCAACGAGCUCCAGUCACUACUUCCGACCCGACAGGUAGCAACGUCUUCGAAGGAGGGAAAGAUCGCAAACGAUUUCGCGAGUGGAAGGAAGUAGAGCCGAAUGGAAGGGCGCGAGCUUCAUUUCUUCGGUAUUUAACGAAGAGCAACGACGUGCUAAGAGAUUUCGUAAGACGUCCGGGCCGAGAGAUCUGCACGAUUUUGAGAUGGCUUUGACAUUCCACACGACGUGAGCGCCAGAUAAUUAUACCACUCAAAUCCCUAUUUCACCUCUAUUCUACCACUCCGUCUACCGCGGUUCUUCACGACGCUUGUUCGCACGGUAACGACGACGUUUUCAAUUUUUCGUUUUUAGGGCAUCGUCGAGUCGGACGUCUUCACAAUCCAAGUUAUAAUGAGUUCAUGGAUAAACUGAAGUGCAAUGGAGUUCAUGAAAAUUUUUUUUUUUGUCAAGCCGACUUUCUCUUCACCGGCUUUCAGUUAUAAUGAGUUCGUCAAAUUCAUCAGUUGUGAGAGCUAGGCAGCAUCAAUCCCUAGUAUAUUGCCAUUGUCAUCUCAAAUGUGUUUUGUUUACCUGUCCCCAAGGACCAAAUAGUGGAAGACAAUUUUAUAGGUGUAUUUAUAAUCGAAGUGAUGAUGAUUGUCAUUACUUUAAAUGGGUUGAUGAAGAGGAAGAGCCAUGCUAUGUCACAUGUUACGAAUUUAAUGCCUUCGACAGAAAGACUUCUAAGAAGCUUGACAGGAUUCUUCUGAUGAUUAAAGUUUUUGUUGCGGUUGUUCUUAUCGACGUUACCAUUCGACUUUAUUUUGGCUAGAAUUAUGUUGUAUUCAAGUUGAAUGUAUGAAUGGUUUUAGAGGAUGGUAGGUGUUGCAUUAGUACUUUAUUAUAUAUUUGUCGAAGGUUAAUAGUUCAGGCGUUGCUAUGACUUGAGCUAGCCUUUUGUAUUAGUAUUUUGUAUCUUCAAAGUUUUUUGUGGGAUUGAAAAAAGUAUAAGUUUUUUGUUGGAAUGAAGUAUUUAUGUGUCUUAUGUA